rnacentral:rRNA from 1 species
ACGAAGGGGGCUAGCGUUGUUCGGAAUUACUGGGCUUAAAGGGCGCGUAGGCGGCUCGCCAAGUCAGGGGUGAAAUACUUCAGCUUAACUGGAGAAGUGCCCUUGAUACUGGCGGGCUCGAGGGAGGUAGGGGUCUGUGGAACUUCUGGUGGAGCGGUGAAAUGCGUUGAUAUCAGAAGGAACGCCGGUGGCGAAAGCGACGGACUGGACCUCUUCUGACGCUGAGGCGCGAAAGCUAGGGGAGCAAACGGGA